CAUCCAACUUGGUCUCCGGAAAGGUUCAGAAACUCCAUCCUAGUCAGCUAUCAACCGAAACCUCCAUCCUCAAACUCUUGAGUAAAGAAUGACGACCUUGAGUGUGUUACUGCUGUUCGCCCUGCUGGGUGUCCUGUUAGCAAGUCCGUUCAUUGACCGCCUGCAGCAAAAUGCUAAACAACAGGAGGCUGAAGAGAGGACCAAGGACCAGCCUCUUCAAAUGAUGUAUAGAAUGUUUUGUGGCUGGAGUUGUUUGCCUCAUUAUCGAAAAGUAACAAGAAACGGCCAUUGCUAUUGUGAAAUGAAAGCGCAUCAUGUAAAGGAAGGUGUCUUAUCAUAAGGGAGGAGCUAUUGCAAGUCCCUGUUUUACUUCUGGUUUGAGCUGUGCAUGAGUGCUUGCGUGGUGUGUACAAAACAAUCAUGGACUAAUACAUUUACAAGGCCAACAAUGUAAAAACAUAAAUAUACAAGGCCAACAAUAAACCCAGAUAAUGAGAAAACAAUUGGGGGAAAGGAAAAAGAAGAAUGAGUCUCACAAAACGAGCAACAAUCUAAACAUGGGCUGAAAUAUGUCCUUAAUUUAUACACCGGGUGGGUCUAAUGCUGAUUGGUGUGUCUUCCACAAGUUACCACCGGCUAAAUCUAUGACGUUAAAAUGCCUAUUUACUCUGUUCCAUCUGACUGCGCAAUCCAGUGUCAUCAGCCCAGCCAGGUAAUUUAUAAACCUGAUCUCCACUAUAAAAAGCAUCUAGACAUUAUCUCACAUUUCUUUUAGACUAACAUUUAGUUUUCAACAGCGGAGAUUUGUAUAAACCUUACGGUCUGUCUCGCAGACUUUUACAACAUGUUUCAAUAUUCAAAUUUGUCUCCAGCUGUCCCAUAGUAGUGAACGUAUCGGGGGAAGAGACAGACAGGCAGCAUUUCUCAGCCAAUCGAAAUCAUGAAUCAGCUAGCAUUUUUAUGGAAAUAUAUAUAUAUACACACACAUGCCAAUUGAAAAAAAAAACGUACCACGAAACAAAGUGCAGCUAGUUUGCACCCUUUCCAGCUUCAGUUUGAAGUAAUUGUGUUCGCUGUGUUGUUGGCGAGCUCCUCUGAACUACAGUGUCCUGACGAAUGAGCACAUGUUCUAUGCCAGGCGGAAUCUCGCCUCAUUAUCCCAUUGUUAUGGAUGUAUCAUGUAUGUCACUAGAAAACCGCUUAAAGGCAAAUGCAGCUACUUUGCUGUUAAUCUUGCUGCACUUUUUGACGUGGCUGUAAGGUAGCCGUAGUUUGGUCGCUUGCAAGCAAGGGAUAAGAACGUUGCCAGCCAGUAUGGCAAUGGAACAUUUCAUGAAAAUAUGUCAAUCAUUAUUUGAAUAGGUUGGUAACCCGUUGUAUAAAAGUGAUAAUGCCCUCGAAGCCAGUGUUUGAAGGAUAUAUUGGCACGGUUUGCCGCCCCACGACUUCAUCUCAGGCCUAACGACACCCAUGCUAAUAUAUCCGCCAAACACUGGUUUCGAGGGCAUUAUCACUUAAAUAUAUCCUUCAUUUUAUUAUUAUAUCCUCACUGUGUGUGUGGGUGUGUGUGUGUGGGUAGACUUUGAAGAUGCAGACAUUGAGGAUCCUCUCCCAUCACCUGAUGGAAUGGAGCACACUUCACCUUUCAUCAUCACCAACACAUACGUGACCAUAACGCUAUCCACAUGUAUUUAGACCUAUAAAGUAGAUACUUGUAGUAGCAAUAGGUGUGGUGUGUAUUUAUGUUUUUUUUUUCAAUCAGAUUUUACUGCUUGCAUCAGUUACUUCAUGUGGAAAAGAGUUCCAUGUUGUCGUAGCUGUAUGUAGUGGUGGUGGUGGUGGUAGUAGUAGUAGCAUUUCUUUGUCCGGCUGUAUGCGUGAUCAUUUUUCCUUGUGUAAUUUACUUUUUGAACUUGCUGUAGUGAUGUCAUGUUUUUAUAAUUGUUAUUUUCUUAUAUUUUGGGUGUCCCUGGGUAUCUUGAAAGCGAAUUCUAACUUUGGAACAAUGGUGAUUACGACAAUGAUGAUUAUUACGAUGUAAUGCUGCAUGGCUUUAUGUGUUGUAUUGUGAUCCUACAGUAAACAAGCAGAAAACA